rnacentral:rRNA from 1 species
CGAGUGUACCUGGAAAAGCCCAUCCCGAAACGCAAGGAAGACGGAACCAGAACCUUGCGAGUUGUGGGGUAUAUGUCAAUCGGGUCCAAAGGAGGCUGGCUAAUUUACUUGGAACAGUAAGCCAGAGAGGGUGAUAGCCCCGUAAUGCUGGACUCUCCUGCGGUUUCACUGGUUGAACAUAAGAGUCGGGCUGUUUGGGACUGCAGCUCUAAUUUAGCUGGUAUACCUCAGCUAAGGCUAAAUAUUAAUCUAAGACCGAUAGAAAACAAGUACCGUGAGGGAAAGAUGAAAAGAACUUGGGCAAGAGAGUUAAAAGUACGUGAAACCGUUGCGGUGUAAGGUUAUGUCGUCCAUCGGCUCUGAACAACCCUCGGGUUGGAAGGACGCUACAGUGGAUCUUUCGCUCCGUUCGGCUCCAUUAUGCACUGGCUUCGGUUGGUGAUGUGGGGUGCAGUGGCGAGUGAAUGAUUCAUAAGGUGAUUAGGGGGCUAGGCUUUAUCCUUUUGGCUGUCAGCGGCCGGUCUUUCGGGUUCGGCAGUGUAUGCCUCGGUGUGCACUGUACGGUUGCUGGCGGUUUUAAGGGUGGGGUUUUAAACCUUAAUUAAUUGUGGCAAGUAAUGGCGAUAUAACACCCGUCUUGAAACACGGACCAAGGAGUCUACUGCGUAUGCGAGUGUUGUGGUGAAUGAAACCAGGCCGUAAGGCUUUCAACGCGAAAUGAAAGUAACUACCCCUAACUCACGUGCCGGGGUGACCGCUUCCGCUCAAUUGGAAAGGGAUGCGAGUUUGAGCAUACACGGUGGGACCCGAAAGAUGGUGAACUUUUCCUGGACAGAGUGAAGUCGUGCGAAAGCGCGAUGGAGGCUCGCCGCAAUACUGACGUGCAAAUCGUUUGUCGAAUCAAUAAUACCUAGAAUCGACGAAAGCAUUAAGCUAGUCCCUACCUAGGGGUAAAACCACAAGAUCGAGGAAUGGUUUCUAACCAAAUCUCGAGCUACUACGGUAGUGUAACGCUUGCGAUGUGGUUGACAGGAAUGAAACCUGUUUAAGGAACAAGCUGUAGGUAGUGUAAACUACUAAACCAACCGUCCGGGUAAAGGGGCGAAAGACUCAUCGAACUGUCUAGUAGCUGGUUUCCUCCGAAGUUUCCCUCAGAAAGCUGAUCCUGAGGAAUAGAUCCAAUCUAGCCUAUGGGCAAGGUAUCUUGAUCGAGGAAGAGUCUUCGACUUAAUCUCGAGCUAGUUAAAUAACUAGUGUAACGCAUGCUAAGAUACCGUCAAUUAUUUGAUCAAGGAACAUGCUUCCUAACCCGCGAGGGUUAGGUAAUUAGGAUAGCUGGUACUCAUCGGAGUUUUGUGAGGUAAAGCAAAUGAUUAGAGGAAUCUGGGAUCUCGUUUCCUAGACCUAUUCUCAAACUUUAAAUGUGCAAGGUACCUAAUAGUCUUAAUUGCUGUUAGGCCUAGAAUCCGAGUACCAAGUGGGCCACUUCUGGUAAGCAGGACUGGCGAUGCGGGAUGCUCCGAAAGUGUACCUAAAGUAUCCGACUGUUGGCUCAUUUAGAUCCCAUGAAAGGUGUUGGUAGAUCCAGACAGCAGGACGGUGGCCAUGGAAGUUGGAAACCGCUAAGGAAUGUGUAACAACCCACCUGCCGAAUCUACCGGCCCUGAAAAUGGAUGAUGCUCAAGCCGACGACUUCUGGUACACCGCUGUUCGGUUUUGAAAAUCCGCUCAGUGAGUAGGAGGACGUAGGAAUAUGCGAAGAAGGCUACGGCGUGAGCCUAGCUGGAGCUGCUCUUAGUGCAGAUCUUGGUUGUAGUAGCGAAUAUUCCCAUGAGAAUUGUGAAGACUGAAGUGGAGAAGGUUUCCCUGUGAACAGUAGUUGGACAGGGGUCAGACGGUCUAAACCACAGGCAAAAGCCUCUGUAUAGAGCUGGAACGAAUGUUAGAUCACUGGGAAACCGGCCUAGCAUUUGUAACCAGGCGUGGUGAAAGAGAAGAAGGCAAACAUUCCUUCUCCUGGUAGCGGGGCGAUGAAGCGGCAACGCAGUUAACAAUGCUGGAGACCAGGCGAUAGGGCCUCGGAAGAGUUCUCUUUUCUUUUUGAUAUGCACAAGCUUCCAUCUAACCUCGAAUCACUGGGCGACAUGGAUCUUAGCAUAGUAAAGCCUCACUCUCUCUGUGAGGUAGAGUGCCCUUAUCGUCUGCAUGGAAAAUCCAGCGGCGAUCUACUCACCCCCUCGCUCCAGGCCGUACCGAUAACCGCAUCCGGUCUCCUAGGCUAGACGCCUCUAGUCGAUAGAACAA